rnacentral:rRNA from 1 species
GAUCAUGGCUCAGGAUGAACGCUGGCGGCGUGCUUAACACAUGCAAGUCGAACGAAGCUCUCCGAACUGAGAUUUCGGUCAAGGUGAAGAGAUGACUUAGUGGCGGACGGGUGAGUAACGCGUGGGUAACCUGCCGUAUGCAGGGGGACAACAGUUGGAAACGACUGCUAAUACCGCAUAAGCGCACGGUUCUGCAUGGAACAGUGUGAAAAGAUUUAUCGGCAUACGAUGGACCCGCGUCUGAUUAGCUAGUUGGUGAGGUAACGGCCCACCAAGGCAACGAUCAGUAGCCGGCCUGAGAGGGUGAACGGCCACAUUGGGACUGAGACACGGCCCAAACUCCUACGGGAGGCAGCAGUGGGGAAUAUUGCACAAUGGGGGAAACCCUGAUGCCAGCGACGCCGCGUGAGUGAAGAAGUAUUUCGGUAUGUAAAGCUCUAUCAGCAGGGAAGAAAAUGACGGUACCUGACUAAGAAGCCCCGGCUAACUACGUGCCAGCCGCGGC